AGUGAACGCUGGCGGUAGGCCUAACACAUGCAAGUCGAACGGCAGCACAGUAAGAGCUUGCUCUUACGGGUGGCGAGUGGCGGACGGGUGCGUUAUACAUCGGAAUCUACUUUUUCGUGGGGGAUAACGUAGGGAAACUUACGCUAAUACCGCAUACGACCUACGGGUGAAAGCAGGGGAUCUUCGGACCUUGCGCGAUUGAAUGAGCCGAUGUCGGAUUAGCUCGUUGGCGGGGUAAAGGCCCACCAAGGCGACGAUCCGUAGCUGGUCUGAGCGGAUGAAUAGCCACACUGGAACUGAGACACGGUCCAGACUCCUGCGGGAGGAAGCAGUGGGGAAUAUUGGACAAUGGGCGCAAGCCUGAUCCAGCCAUACCGGGUGGGUGAAGAAGGCCUUCGGGUUGUAAAGCCCUGUUGUUGGGAAAGAAAAGCAGCAGGUUAAUACCCCGCUGUUCUGACGGUACCCAAAGAAUAAGCACCGGCUAACUUCGUG
rnacentral:rRNA from 1 species